CUAGCUCAGGAUACAGAAGUCUUUCCUGGCUGCUGAAACCUCAUCCCAGCUCUUGCUGGCACUGUGGGCCCCUCUUAGGCUCUGCUCUGAGUUCCAUUUGUCCCUCAGCCUGGGCAUGUUGUAGCAGAGGCUGCCAGUCACCUUGGCUCUCGAACAAUGGGCACCAUGACAGUGCUUCUGCUCUCAGUUCAUUGAGUUCCUGAGCCUCAUCUUGAGUGUGUGUGGGAACUUCUGGGUCUUGUUCAUAUCACUCAGGGUAGAACAGCUCAGAAAGUUGAAACCCUGCAACUGUGCACUCCCACCCCUCCCCCUUACCACCCUGCCUGACCUUGUUGUGUGGCAGAGUUUAUCUUACUAUGACUGCUUGCCAGACUUGGGCUGGGACUGUUUGUGAGGGAACCCCCUCCAGGAGUCUGAAAUAUGAAUCACAGCAAAGCCCCCCACUGCCCUUGGCAGUGUCCACCUGGCCUCCCCUGCCUCGGUGGUAUCGUCAACCCAUCUAACAUCACUCUCCCAAAGAAUAUGAGAUUUUCACUUCCUUGCCCUGGUCCUCACACAUUAGAAUGAUCCAAGAACUCUUCAAAAAUAUCUUAUUUAACUGCUUUGAGGGGACCCAGGCAUUGGUGGUUUUACAACAAAGUGCCCCAAGUGAUUCUCAUGCAGGGUUGAGAACCACGGUUGUUAGCCCAGUGGUUCUCAGUCUUCACUGAUUAUUAGAACCAUCUGGGGAGGUUUCAUGCUCAGGCAACAUCCUACAGCAAUGAAAUCAGAAUCACUAGCACAGGACUUUUUAAGUUCUUUGGCUUAUUCCAAUAGGAGUCAAAUGUGACAACCCUUGUUCUUUCAGGUCAGUUACUCUCAAACGCUAAUGUAUGUACAAUCACCUACGGCCUUUGUCAAAAUGCAGGUUCUGAUUCAAUAGGUCUGAGGUGGGGCCUCAGAGUCUUAGUUACUAAAAAGCUCCCAGCUGAUGUCAAUGGUGCAGGUCUUUAGGCCAUAUCCUUCUUCCCAAAGGACAUUUGCCUUCCCACCCCCACAGACUAACUGGAUUCAGAGAGAGGGAAAUGGUCUUGUAAGUGAGUGACGUAUUUCAAAGUUAUUAUGCCUAUUACAUAUUUCCUGGUAGUUGUUGGGGUUUUAUCUUCCAAAAGUCAGGGGAUCUUCCCAACCCAGGGAUCGAAGCCACAUCUUCUGCAUUGGCAGAUACGUUCUUAAAACCCCAUGGCAAGCUUACCCGCAUGAGAAAGUUCUACAUAAUGAGAUGCAGCCAGAAGCACCCAAGGAUAGCUUCCCUUCCCAAAGGAAGAAACCAGUCUCACCAGAAGGAAAACUUUUGCUUCUUCCUGCUUGGAGCACGGCCUUGAGACUUGGAGGAAUAGUAGGUAUAGUGACGGUGGAUGGGGUUCUCAGAUGAAACAUAGAAGGACCAGUUAAAUUUGAGUUUUGGAUAAUUGACUUUUUUCUUUUUUUGGCCACGUUGUGCAUGGCUUGCAGGGAUCUUAGUUCCCAGACCAGGGAUGGACACUGAAAGCGUGGACUCAACCACUGGACCCCCAGGGGGUUCCCAACAAACAGUUUUUCAGUGUGUUGUAGUCUCUUCUGUUGUGGUCACCCUCAGAAAUGGAUGAACCCCUACCCCAAACUUGGUUCAGAUGUUGAGACUUCCGCUGUCAUACACACAUCGAGAGAGUGUGAAAGGUUUAUGAGAGUGAGGGUUUCUGCGGACAUCAGUGGACACGCUCCCCAGCAGACGCAAAAGUUGACUUGAGAGAGCAGGGAGGGGCGGUUUCCUUGGGGUUUUGUGGCCAGGAGGGGUGGGGCGGAGAGGAAGGGGCUGGGCUGGUGUAGUUUGAACUUCAGCUGCUACGGAAGGAGCAUCGGUUCCUAUCAGCUUGCUUGGGCGUAGGCAGACGGGAAGAAGGCAGUGAUGAGGCUUGAAAACUGUCAUCAGUUGAACUCUUUAUAACAGUGUGUUCCAAAGAUUGUAGGGAUAUUCUUAUACUAUUUGAGCUACAGGUUUUAGAGCUCAGCCUUUAUGUCUCAUUGAUGAUUCUGAAGUCAUGGUCUUUCAGAGACACUGGACACACAGAUGAGUUUGUCAGAAGGGUUUAAUCUUCACUUGGCUAGACUGUAAAUUAUCCUAGUCUUAUGAAGCAGGGUGAUCUCCUAUCAGCAGGCACCUCCCCAUAAGAAGUGGAAAUGCUGCCUGUAGCCUGAAUUGCACUGAAUUCCUUAAGUCCACCUGACCUAAACCAGUUUGGUUCUCACAGUGAAACCACACUGUGGUGUCUCCAAUGUUGACCCUCCUUCUUGCUCAUGUGAACUCAAUCCAGCAGUCUACCUUUGCAGAAAGUCUGUCUCAGUACUUGUUGAAAAGACUGAAUCACUGCCUUCCUUAAGUUAACAUGCUACGAUCCUGUGAUCCCAGACUCUCAAAGAGCCUUGCCCUUUUUCCUGUGCAUGCAAGAUUACUCAGAAGGAAUUAAGUUCAAGUAAGAUAACAAGGGUAAAUAAAACCACAUUCUAUCCAUAAUAAUUAAAUUUCUGUUUCCUGCAAGGCUUGUCCAUUAUAACCUAGACUUACCAUUCCCUGGAUUGGGAGAAGCGUGAACUCUUUUAUUCAAAUAUACUUUAUUUAAACUCUUCUAGUGAAAUGAUGAAAUGUUUAUAGUGAAAACAAAGGCAAAAA